GAAAGUUUAGUUAAAUAAUAACAUUAGAAUGUCAAACUAAAAUUAUCAAAUCUGAUAACUUUCU
rnacentral:tRNA from 1 species